GAGACAGUUCUGGAGCAUUAGCUCCUCUAUUUAGCCUCAGAACAGAUACUGCACAGACCGCAGCACCUCAAGUUUCCCCCCACCACACAAUUUUCCCUUGACCUAGGAACUGGGGCUGAGACAAUAGGUCAGUAUCCAUGACCCAGUCAGUCUGUUGUGGCU
rnacentral:sRNA from 1 species